rnacentral:rRNA from 1 species
UACGAAGGGUGCAAGCGUUGCUCGGAAUUAUUGGGCGUAAAGGGUAGGUAGGUGGUAAUAAAAGUCUGGGGCGAAAUCCCUGAGCUCAACUCAGGACGUGCCUUGGAAACUUUAUUACUAGAGUGCUGGAGAGGUCCGCAGAAUUCCCGGUGUAGCGGUGAAAUGCGUAGAGAUCGGGAGGAAUACCAGAGGCGAAGGCGGCGGACUGGACAGUCACUGACACUCAACUACGAAAGCGUGGGUAGCAAACAGG